GGGCUGCGGUAACUUGACCGUGCUAAGGUAGCAUNAUCAGUAGUCUUUUAAUUGAUGACUGGAAUGAAUGGCGUUACGAGAAAUAAGCUGUCUUAAAAAUAAAAAUUGAAUUUNACCUUCAAGUGAAAAGGCUUGAAUACUACUAAGGGACGAUAAGACCCUAUAAAACUUAACAUGAUUGUCUUUUCUGANGGUUAAAGUUGAAUUAAGAAUGGGUGUAUUUUGUUUGGUUGGGGCGACCUAGAUAUAAUUNAGUAACUGUCUGAAAAUAAAAAUAAUUAUAAUUUGGUUCAUGAACCUUUAAUAAGGAUUAGAAGAAAAAGUUNCUUUAGGGAUAACAGCGUAAUUUUUUCAGAGAGUUCUUAUCGAAGAAAGUAGUUGCGACCUCGAUGUUGAAUUAAAGUUNCUCUUAAGC
rnacentral:rRNA from 1 species